rnacentral:rRNA from 1 species
AGAGUUUGAUCCUGGCUCAGGACGAACGCUGGCGGCGCGCCUAACACAUGCAAGUCGAACGAGCGAGAGAGAGCUUGCUUUCUCGAGCGAGUGGCGAACGGGUGAGUAACGCGUGAGGAACCUGCCUCAAAGAGGGGGACAACAGUUGGAAACGACUGCUAAUACCGCAUUAGCCCACGGUGCCGCAUGGCACAGAGGGAAAAGGAGCAAUCCGCUUUGAGAUGGCCUCGCGUCCGAUUAGCUAGUUGGUGAGGUAAUGGCCCACCAAGGCGACGAUCGGUAGCCGGACUGAGAGGUUGAACGGCCACAUUGGGACUGAGACACGGCCCAGACUCCUACGGGUGGCAGCAGUGGGGAAUAUUGCACAAUGGGGGAAACCCUGAUGCAGCGACGCCGCGUGGAGGAAGAAGGUCUUCGGAUUGUAAACUCCUGUUGUUGAGGAAGAUAAUGACGGUACUCAACAAGGAAGUGACGGCUAACUACGUGCCAGCAGCCGCGGUAAAACGUAGGUCACAAGCGUUGUCCGGAAUUACUGGGUGUAAAGGGAGCGCAGGCGGGAAGACAAGUUGGAAGUGAAAUCUAUGGGCUCAACCCAUAAACUGCUUUCAAAACUGUUUUUCUUGAGUAGUGCAGAGGUAGGCGGAAUUCCCGGUGUAGCGGUGGAAUGCGUAGAUAUCGGGAGGAACACCAGUGGCGAAGGCGGCCUACUGGGCACCAACUGACGCUGAGGCUCGAAAGUGUGGGUAGCAAACAGGAUUAGAUACCCUGGUAGUCCACACCGUAAACGAUGAUUACUAGGUGUUGGAGGAUUGACCCCUUCAGUGCCGCAGUUAACACAAUAAGUAAUCCACCUGGGGAGUACGACCGCAAGGUUGAAACUCAAAGGAAUUGACGGGGGCCCGCACAAGCAGUGGAGUAUGUGGUUUAAUUCGACGCAACGCGAAGAACCUUACCAAGUCUUGACAUCCCUUGACGAACAUAGAAAUAUGUUUUCUCUUCGGAGCAAGGAGACAGGUGGUGCAUGGUUGUCGUCAGCUCGUGUCGUGAGGUGUUGGGUUAAGUCCCGCAACGAGCGCAACCCUUAUGGUCAGUUACUACGCAAGAGGACUCUGGCCAGACUGCCGUUGACAAAACGGAGGAAGGUGGGGAUGACGUCAAAUCAUCAUGCCCUUUAUGACUUGGGCUACACACGUACUACAAUGGCGUUAAACAAAGAGAAGCAAGACCGCGAGGUGGAGCAAAACUCAGAAACAACGUCCCAGUUCGGACUGCAGGCUGCAACUCGCCUGCACGAAG